AGUGAACGCUGGCGGUAGGCCUAACACAUGCAAGUCGAACGGCAGCACAGUAAGAGCCUGCUCUUACGGGUGGCGAGUGGCGGACGGGUGAGGAAUACAUCGGAAUCUACUUUUUCGUGGGGGAUAACGUAGGGAAACUUACGCUAAUACCGCAUACGACCUACGGGUGAGAGCAGGGGAUCUUCGGACCUUGCGCGAUUGAAUGAGCCGAUGUCGGAUUAGCUAGUUGGCGGGGUAAAGGCCCACCAAGGCGACGAUCCGUAGCUGGUCUGAGAGGAUGAUCAGCCACACUGGAACUGAGACACGGUCCAGACUCCUACGGGAGGCAGCAGUGGGGAAUAUUGGACAAUGGGCGCAAGCCUGAUCCAGCCAUACCGCGUGGGUGAAGAAGGCCUUCGGGUUGUAAAGCCCUUUUGUUGGGAAAGAAAAGCAGCAGGUUAAUACCCCGCUGUUCUGACGGUACCCAAAGAAUAAGCACCGGCUAACUUCGUG
rnacentral:rRNA from 1 species